rnacentral:rRNA from 1 species
UACGUAGGGGGCAAGCGUUGUCCGGAUUUAUUGGGCGUAAAGAGCGUGUAGGCGGCUUUACAGGUCCGUUGUGAAAACUCGAGGCUCAACCUCGAGACGCCGGUGGAAACCGUAAAGCUAGAGUCCGGAAGAGGAGAGUGGAAUUCCUGGUGUAGCGGUGAAAUGCGCAGAUAUCAGGAGGAACACCCGUGGCGAAAGCGGCUGCCUGGCCCAAUACUGACACUCAGGUGCGACAGCGUGGGGAGCAAACAGG